AUUGAACGCUGGCGGCAGGCCUAACACAUGCAAGUCGAGCGGCAGCGACUUAACUGAACCUUCGGGGAAUGUUAAGGGCGGCGAGCGGCGGACGGGUGAGUAAUGCCUGGGAAUAUGCCCUGAUGUGGGGGAUAACUAUUGGAAACGAUAGCUAAUACCGCAUAAUCUCUUCGGAGCAAAGAGGGGGACCUUCGGGCCUCUCGCGUCAGGAUUAGCCCAGGUGGGAUUAGCUUGUUGGUGAGGUAAUGGCUCACCAAGGCAACGAUCCCUAGCUGGUCUGAGAGGAUGAUCAGCCACACUGGAACUGAGACACGGUCCAGACUCCUACGGGAGGCAGCAGUGGGGAAUAUUGCACAAUGGGGGAAACCCUGAUGCAGCCAUGCCGCGUGUGUGAAGAAGGCCUUCGGGUUGUAAAGCACUUUCAGUAGGGAGGAAGGUAGUGUAGUUAACACCUGCAUUAUUUGACGUUACCUACAGAAGAAGCACCGGCUAACUCCGUGCCAGCAGCCGCGGUAAUACGGAGGGUGCGAGCGUUAAUCGGAAUUACUGGGCGUAAAGCGCAUGCAGGCGGCCUGUUAAGUCAGAUGUGAAAGCCCGGGGCUUAACCUCGGAAUUGCAUUUGAAACUGGCAGGCUAGAGUCUUGUAGAGGGGGGUAGAAUUUCAGGUGUAGCGGUGAAAUGCGUAGAGAUCUGAAGGAAUACCAGUGGCGAAAGCGGCCCCCUGGACAAAGACUGACGCUCAGAUGCGAAAGCGUGGGGAGCAAACAGG
rnacentral:rRNA from 1 species